GCUUUUACAAGAGGUACAGUGUGUCUUCAGUGUGCAGAAGUGGACAGAGAUCAAAACCAUUGUUCUCGACAUCAAUUUGGGUGUUUGUAUGUGUGUGUUCAGGGUUUUCCCUGGCAGUCAUCCUUCCCACAACCACGUGGUUCCAGAGGACAAGCAGACACAGCAAGACCCCCUCCAGAAACUGCAGAAAUGGGAGCAACUGGAUUUGGGAAAAGGGAGCGUCAGAACAUAGACCCCGGAAAGCACUAACCACACAUUCUCUCUCCUGGAAUGGCUCCCAGCUAGUAGCAUGAUGCAGUUUAUUUUCAGUUGGCAUGGUGUGAACUAUUGUUUCUUUUCCUACUGUGUAUAUAUAUAUAGCUACCACUGAUGAAAAUGUUGUUUAUAUACUUAAGUUUUAUAAUCCUGUUUGUGAAACACUGUUCUGGCAAAUUACGAGUAUAUACAUUUAUUAUUUUACCUUUAUAUAAUUCUAUGCAGGAAUUGAAGUCAGUUAUUUAAUGGAUAGUAUGAUUGAACGUUAUUCUUAUGACAAUCUACCUAUAGAGUUAGAUCUCCACCACUUAAUUGAAUAAUAGCCACCUGAAAACAUCAUAUUUAGUGAUUCCCUGACACGUGUUGGUAUUGAUUGAGACUGACAAAAACAUUUGUAUGUGCAAUUAGAGAAAAUAUGUAUCUAAAAAUUGUAACUCUAUAGGGGAAUUGUCUUGAAAAUAGCUAACCGUAGAAUGUGACCGUACUGAUUCACGAUUCCUUCACUGGCCGUGAUUGAGAUUGAGUCACAUAUUGUUGAACGUCUGCGUGUGUCACCAUAGGCUGGCGUUACUCUCUGACUGGUCAUCUGCCCUACUGUUUAUUGAAGCCAUAUACAACACCUGUUAACCUUUUCAUCUAUUAGAUUAUAUUCUGGGAACACUUUAAUAAGCGCUUCACGUGGCUUGUUGAUCUUUCAGAUAUAUGAUUGAAAUUGAAAUGAUAAUUGAUCAUGGAGGGCUUUCAUCUGGACGACAGAAAUAUCACGGUAGUUUUGCUUAAUAUAUUUUAAGAUACAGUGUUCAAAAACAUUAUUCCCGAUGUGCAAAUGGAAGUGAUAAGUUAUUUAUAUCUAUUGUUUUGACAGCUGAGUGUGGUUUAUUGUCUUAAGUAAUGUUGUCUUUAGUGUAUUGUUUUGUGUCUCCCUUUACAUAUUGUAGCUACUGGAAGACUGUAGGAUGUGAGUUUGUGUGUUUGUGCAUAUGCAUAAUCACAGGAAGUGGGCCAGAAUAAAUAAGUUAAUGCAUCACAUUAGUGCAACCCACUUUCAUUGGUCUCGUUUUUGAUUUGGGCUGAGCAUGAGGAGGAAAUAACCAAAUCACCAAAUGUCUAAUUACAAUGGGUCCAGUGUUGCACUUAAAAACAUUGUAAUAUGUUUGGAACAGGGUAAGAAUCAUAUCCUUUCUGCUUUUACGGUCAUCCGCCAUCAUGAAGGCUGUUUUCCCGCAUAUGUGCAAUGUCUCCAACCUUACUGACCAAUGCUUUGAACCAAACGCAAAAAGGUUUCUAUGCUCACAAAAUAUUCCCAAAGGCGAGCAACUUUCAAAUGGUGUGAUACAUGUCAUGUAAAUGUAAAAAAA